AUGCCCAACUAACUUUGGAGUUCAGAUAAACAAUGCAUAAUUGUUUAGCGUUAAGUAUGUCCCAUGCAAUAUCUGGGACAUACUUAUACUAAAAAAUGUAUUCAUUGUUUAAAUUCAAAGCUACCUGGGCCUC
rnacentral:miRNA from 10 species